rnacentral:lncRNA from 1 species
AGGUUGAAUGGGAGUUGGGUCGAGGGAAGGAAUGGACGCAGAGUUAGGGUGAAGAGUUGCGGUGGGUCAGCGGGGGUGAAAGGACAUGGAGAUGUCAUUUUUAACAAGAUUGGGUGAGGGUGGUAGGAAAGGAGGCAGCAAGAGUUCGGGACAGUUUGGCAAAGACUUAGGGAUGGGGUGUCCUCAGUACGGCAGGAGACGCAAAGGAAGGUAUACAGUGGGCUAGGAGACUAAGGACGAGAAGACACAGUUACGACUUGGAAUAAGGCUGAGAUCGGAGUUAUCCAGAAGAAAGCGGUGCCAGAAGCCCAGGAAGCACACAUCAAGGCUCGCUUGCCAGCGGGGUGCUGCCAAUAAAAUGUAGUCACGUGGAAUUUGGGAUGUGGAAAGGAGGUAGAAGUCAUCCUUUCCUCCCCCAUAGCAGCAGGUGUGCAGGCUCUGGUGGUCAGCUGGACUCCAUACUCCCCCACCAGUCACCAGCCUGGGGACCGUGGGGCUGCAAGGACCUCAGCAGCAGUUUCCCAAGUUUCCUGACUUCUUCCAUCCUCUGGAAAUCAGCUGUGAGCUAUCAGCUUCCCAGUUUGCACAAUUCAUCAAGAAAUUAUGCGGGGUCACUGGCACAAAUGAUGAGGCAUCUCCUGGAAGCUUAACUUCUUAUCCAUCCCAUCUCUUGGACAGAUGAUGCCAGUUAAUUACUUUGAAUGCUCCUCCACCAAGCCAAGGCCAGACUCCUGCAAUCAUAGGAUGGCAACACCACCUCUAAAGCACAGAACUUCAGCCUUUGCUUCGGAAGUGGCACCAUGGUCUCUUCAUUUUCCCUUUCUUCAAGGUCAGAAAACUGAAGCUGUUAGGAGUUUUAGUGUUAAGUUCCUUCCGAGGAUGUUAAUUAGGCUUCAAACUGUUUUGUUCUGAGAAAUAAAAACUAAACUCCAGUCAUUCAAGCUAA